rnacentral:rRNA from 1 species
UGGUGGCCAUUGCGAGGAGCCUGAACCCGAUCCCAUCCCGAACUCGGCCGUUAAACUCCUCAGCGCCGAUGGUACUAUGUCUCAAGACCUGGGAGAGUAGGUCGCUGCCA